rnacentral:lncRNA from 1 species
GGUCGAAGGGACACUUAUACCCAUUGAUCUUAAUUAACUACUCUUGACAGUAGAGUGUUAUAUUGAUCAUGUUCAAUACAGAUGUACUCCUACAUCUUAUCUAGAUACCAUACCAGUGUCUCCACACCACUUGGUUACGAGGACAACCAACGCAUAUGGCAUACAGCGACCUACACUUGAUAAGUUAUCAUCCUUGUUAAUAACUUAUC